rnacentral:rRNA from 1 species
AUAAGUAAAGAUUUUAAGGGCGUACGGCGGAUGCCUUGGCGAUAUCAGCCGAUGAAGGACGCGGUAAGCUGCGAUAAGCUACGGAGAGGUGCAAGCAACCUUUGACCCGUAGAUUUCCGAAUGGGGGAACCCGGCAGUGGUUAUGCAC